ensembl:lncRNA
GAGAGAGGGAGGGAGGGAGGGAGAGGGAGAGAGAGAGAGAUGUCCAAUACUGCCAAUAUGAAUUUAUCUCUUCUGCUCUAAUUCACCGACCAGAUAAGAGCACAGCUCAAUGUAUCCUUUCUCUCUCUGUCACUCGCUACCUCUCUCCACCACACACACACACACACUCACACACACACACUCACACGCGCGCGCGCGCCGCAGCCGCAUGCGUCCGUCCUCGCGCCAGCGGGUGGCCGCCUGGCUGCUCGCGCUGCCGUCGGGGAGCGGCGGGGAGGAGUGCGCGCGCCGCGGCCGCCUGGAGAUGAUCUCGUUCUGGCUGCUGUGCUGGAAGCUGUUGGAAGCGAACAGAGGUCACCGGUGUCAGAGUCCUGUGUUGUUGACCCAUCCAUCCAUCCACCCCGACCUCCUCCUCCUCCGACAGUAUACAGACUGUCGGAUACUGCAUCACUCAAGUUCCUGCCUCGCUCCCGUCAUAAUAACUAAAGCAAUUGUGACAAUGCGACACUGAGGCCUGGAGUUUUUAGUACUGAGGAAAUUAAACUUAUACAACAAGGCAAACGUUUUCUUCACACUUUAUAGAUCCAACCGUGGGAUGUCACACAAAAAGAAUGUUCUGGUGUCUAAAUAAUCAGUUAGUCUUCAAGCACCGACCACAUGAAACAAAUCUGAUUUAAAAACCCGUCGGACAGAAAAAAUACCUCACCUAGUUUCCACAUAAGCUCUUGUUCCAGCUGCAUGUUGACGUACAGUAUAUACCUUCAUGAUCGGUACACUGCAGUCCUUUUGUCCCUUGUGUUUGUAGAUGUGCUGGACUGACGCGUCAAACAAAUUCAGCGCGUACGAAUGUGAUUAUUGUGAUAUUUCUGAAAGUAAAACUAAUUUCAGCAGCUUGCCUGCCUGCCUGCCUCGGCAUCUAUAUUUGUGUCGCCAUAGCAACAAUCUGUCACCAGCACAUGCCUGGAACGACAGACCGUAAUAAUCUGCCUGCCCACUCACAGCCAACGCGCUGCCGCCAUGGUAACGAUAUGAAAGGUUUGAUUUGAGCCCAUCAAACAUUUCUAGGUCAUAUGUGCCGCUUUCAUCUGCUCUGUGUGUACAGUGUGUACUCUGCUGUUAUGGAUGUGUGUAUUCAUGUUUGAAUGUGUCUAUGUACAUAUGUCUCGAUGUGGAUUAAUAAUACUGUGUAUUCUUCCUCCUAUAUACUUAUAUAACUAUAUACCAUACUUUAGUGUUUGGUUUCUUAUAUAUACUUUAAUAUUCCACACAAAAAGAAUCAGAUAUACAACAGUGUAUAAUAUUCACUAUCAUUUUAGGUCAGUUUUUUGAUUGAUACAUGAGUAGACCCAUAUGGAUUUUUAAUCACCGAUAUUAGGGAGUAAAAAAUUGCUGAUACAGAUAAAUUGGCUGAUAUAUAUGCACAAAAAAGUUAGUUAUUCCAUAGACGUCGUUAUCAAACUCUUAUGACAAAGAAAUGUAAUCGAGGAUUCAUACUUUACAGUUUACCAUAAACCUUAUUAUAAACUAUAGCAAGUCUAUAAAUAAAAAGAAAAACACAAAUGCAACCACGUGUUUUCUGUAUUGUUUAUUCUGUAAGAUGAAAGUUCUCAUAUUGGUAAACAUGAACACAGGUACCAGUGAGUCUGUGAAAGGCUGAAUAUCUGCCAACCAAUAAACCAGUUGGGGCUCUGUGUGAAACAAGAAGAACAUUUGCUUAAUCAAUUAAAAGUUGAGUGAUAUGAAAUCAUUUUUGCUUAAAUAAGUCAAAAACUUGCUGAGUCAGAAUUGUGUGUUAGCAUCUGUAAUAUUGUGAGGUCAC